rnacentral:rRNA from 1 species
UACGUAGGGUGCAAGCGUUGUCCGGAAUUAUUGGGCGUAAAGAGCUCGUAGGUGGUCUGUUGCGUCGGCUGUGAAAACCCGGGGCUCAACCCCGGGCCUGCAGCCGAUACGGGCAGACUAGAGUUCGGCAGGGGAGACUGGAAUUCCUGGUGUAGCGGUGAAAUGCGCAGAUAUCAGGAGGAACACCGGUGGCGAAGGCGGGUCUCUGGGCCGAUACUGACACUGAGGAGCGAAAGCGUGGGGAGAGAACGGG